AUACAGGAUUGAAAUGAACGCUUCCAGCUCAUCAACAGACAGAUGCCAGGCAGUGUCUCCUGGCUCCGUGUGCGCCUUAGCCACAGUACAGUCCCUGAAUGCUUUGAAUGUCCAUGCCACAUAAACAACGAAAGCUGUGACCACUCUGUAUCAGAGCCUGGGCACAUGGAGGUAAGGGUCACACGCCUCCCCACGGCUGAACGACGUAGAUGGAAACAGCUGGGGCUCUGUCCCUAUUUUGGUCAAGGAGAAUACCAGCUUCAGCUGUGUCCAGUGCGUCCAAACUCGGGAUCCACAAGAGCAGAGAGACAGUCACGUGAUCUUCUACCCCUUGGGGCAGGUGCCGGUGUUUCCUGGUCCCCUGGCUGAUGCUGUUCCCCACGAAACCUCUCCUCCUCCCCUGGACAUCGAGGGAAGUCCCGCCUAUGCCGUCAGAUCCCUACUGGACUGCCAACGUCCAGUACCUGGUGGACUGGGAGGGGUACUUCCCAGAGGAGCUGUGUUCCGUUGGAGGAAAUUUUGGAUCCCAACAUCAUCCAUGAUUUCCAUCUUCGCCCGAACCGCUCCUCAUCCUCGGAGCCAUCCCUCUGGCCGGCUUUGUCCUGCGGCUGGAGCCGCGUGUCAGGGGGUGAGGGGGGAGGGGUACUCUCAGGUCUACUCCCGCUCCUUCCCUCCGGCAUUCGACGUCACCGGUUUACUAACCACCAGCCCUGGCAACCAUCUUUGUGUGCACCUGGCACCCAUCAUUACGCAUAACUGUGUCUCAUCAUGAGACACACCUGGACCCUAUCACUUCACUGAUUACCUCCCCUAUAUCUGUCACUUCCUUAGUUCCAUUUCCCAGGCAGUAUUGACUGUUUCAUGUCUAUGCGCUACUCAUGUUUCUUGUAUUGUUCUAUGUUCCGUUUAUUAUCAAACUCACCACCUGCACUUGCUUUCCGACUCCCAGUGUAUACGUUACAAGCUCAGUAAUGAUGGCAAAACAGCUGACCUCGCAUAAGGGUGGUUGUGCCCUUACGAAAAAGUUUGCAGUUAGAGUACAGUACAGCAAAAACUGCAUCCAAAAUAUCACAGUUGAUUGCAGUUACUGCACUUUUACUGCAGUUUCAAAACUGAAAUCCUUUUUUGAAAGGGUGAGGUAAAUGCCCAAUGAAGAUAUUAAUUCAAAUCAAUAUAAUAUUAAUUCUGCAAUGGUCAUUCUUUCUCCCCCAAACAGACAUUUAACUGAAUGUGCAACACAACUGGUUGACUGAGAAAAAAUGUGAGCGGGAACUUCACCUGGGAAUAUUUCCCACAGUAUUUAUGUAACUGGGACAAAAUAUUACAAGAUCCAUUAAUAAAACCAACUAUAUAAAACAUCACAACACUUAUACUCUGACGUCUCACAAGUGCACAAUGUGUUUUUCAUAAUGUCUUUAUCUGCCAUCUUGACAUUCCCUUUAGACCAGCGUUUCCAAAACCUCAAGGGGUGCACGUUUUGGUAUUUACCCUAACACUACACAGCUGAUUAAAAUGAUCCAUGCUUGAUGAUUAGUUGAUUAUUUGACUCAG